GUUAAACGGCCGCGGUAUUUUGACCGUGCAAAGGUAGCGCAAUCACUUGUCUUUUAAAUGAAGACCUGUAUGAAUGGUGGAACGAGGGCCUGACUGUCUCCCUUUUCAGGUCAAUGAAAUUGAUCUAUCCGUGCAGAAGCGGGUAUAUAAAUACAAGACGAGAAGACCCUUUGGAGCUUAAGAUUAAAAAUCAACUAUGUCAAAUAUUCACCGAAUAAAACUAAAUAGUAACUGAUCAUAAUCUUCGGUUGGGGCGACCACGGAAUAAAAACAAACUUCCAUAUGGACUGAGGACUAACCUUAAAACCAAGAAAGACAUUUCUAAGUCACAGAAUUUCUGACCACACAGAUCCGGCAUAUUGCCGAUCAAUGGACCAAGUUACCCUAGGGAUAACAGCGCAAUCCCCUUUUAGAGUUCCUAUCGACAAGGGGGUUUACGACCUCGAUGUUGGAUCAGGACAUCCUAAUGGUACAGC
rnacentral:rRNA from 1 species